rnacentral:rRNA from 1 species
CGCAAAACAAAGGGAAGCAAAGCCGCGAGGCGGAGCGAAUCCCCAAAAGGCGUCUCAGUUCGGAUUGCAGGCUGCAACUCGCCUGUAUGAAGUCGGAAUUGCUAGUAAUCGUGGAUCAGCAUGCCACGGUGAAUACGUUCCCGGGCCUUGUACACACCGCCCGUCACACCAUGAGAGCCGGGAACACCCGAAGUCCGUAGUCUAACCUAUAUGGAGGACGCGGCCGAAGGUGGGUUUGGUAAUUGGGGUGAAGUCGUAACAAGGUAAC